AGUAUUGUUAAUACCAAUACUCCGUGACAUUACUUACAGAAUAAGGACCGGCUAAUUCCGUGCCAGCAGCCGCGGUAAUACGGAAGGUCCAAGCGUUAAUCGGAAUUACUGGGCGUAAAGCGCGCGUAGGUGGUUUAUUAAGUUGGGUGUGAAAGCCCCGGGCUCAACCUGGGAACUGCAUCCAAAACUGAUUCACUAGAGUACGAAAGAGGAAAGUAGAAUUCACAGUGUAGCGGUGGAAUGCGUAGAUAUUGUGAAGAAUACCGAUGGCGAAGGCAGCUUUCUGGUUCUGUACUGACACUGAGGUGCGAAAGCGUGGGUAGCGAACAGGAUUAGAUACCCUGGUAGUCCACGCCGUAAACGAUGACAACUAGCUGUUGGGAAGCUAUGCUUUUCAGUGGCGCAGCUAACGUCUUAAGUUGUCCGCCUGGGGAGUACGGCCGCAAGGUUAAAACUCAAAUGAAUUGACGGGGACCCGCACAAGCGGUGGAGCAUGUGGUUUAAUUCGAUGCAACGCGAAAAACCUUACCUACACUUGACAUACUUGGAAUCUUUUGUAAUGAAAGAGUGCCUUUUGGAGCCAAGAUACAGGUGCUGCAUGGCUGUCGUCAGCUCGUGUCGUGAGAUGUUGGGUUAAGUCCCAUAACGAGCGCAACCCUUACCCUUAUUUGCCAGCGAUUCGGUCGGGAACUAUAAGGGGACUGCCGGUGAUAAACCGGAGGAAGGUGAGGACGACGUCAAGUCAUCAUGGCCCUUACGUGUAGGGCUACACACGUGCUACAAUGGGGAGUACAGAUAGACGCUAAAGCGCGAGCUGGUGCUAAUCUCAUAAAACUCUUCGUAGUCCGGAUUGCAGUCUGCAACUCGACUGCAUGAAGUCGGAAUCGCUAGUAAUCGCGAAUCAGCAUGUCGCGGUGAAUACGUUCUCGGGUCUUGUACACACCGCCCGUCACACCAUGGGAGUGUAUUGCACCAGAAGUGGGUAGUCUAACCUUCGGGAGGGCGCUCACCACGGUGUGGUCCAUGACUGGGGUGAAGUCGUAACAAGGUAGCCGUAGGGGAACCUGUGGCUG
rnacentral:rRNA from 1 species